AAACUUUCAACAACGGGAUCUCUUGGUUCUCGCAUCGAUGAAGAGCGCAGCGAAAUGCGAUACCUAGUGUGAAUUGCAGCCAUCGUGAAUCAUCGAGUUCUUGAACGCACAUUGCGCCCCUCGGCAUUCCGGGGGGCAUGCCUGUUUGAGCGUCGUUU
rnacentral:rRNA from 1 species